CGAUCUCUUUUCGCAGUAACAGGGCCUUUGCCAAGACCCGUGGACAAAUUUUUGGGAACCCUUACGAGGAUAAGGGUU
rnacentral:snRNA from 1 species